UGCCUACGGGAGGCAGCAGUGAGGAAUAUUGGUCAAUGGGCUUACGCCUGAACCAGCCAAGUCGCGUGAGGGAAGACUGCCCUAUGGGUUGUAAACCUCUUUUGUCAGGGAGCAACGCCGGCUACGUGUAGCCGGACUGAGAGUACCUGAAGAAAAAGCAUCGGCUAACUCCGUGCCAGCAGCCGCGGUAAUACGGAGGAUGCGAGCGUUAUCUGGAUUUAUUGGGUUUAAAGGGUGUGUAGGAGGCGAGUUAAGUCAGUGGUAAAAUUUCGGGGCUCAA
rnacentral:rRNA from 1 species